AGUUUGAAAGUCGAGCGGUAGAGAGAAGCUUGCUUCUCUUGAGAGCGGCGGACGGGUGAGUAAUACCUAGGAAUCUGCCUGAUAGUGGGGGAUAACGUUCGGAAACGGACGCUAAUACCGCAUACGUCCUACGGGAGAAAGCAGGGGACCUUCGGGCCUUGCGCUAUCAGAUGAGCCUAGGUCGGAUUAGCUAGUUGGUGAGGUAAUGGCUCACCAAGGCUACGAUCCGUAACUGGUCUGAGAGGAUGAUCAGUCACACUGGAACUGAGACACGGUCCAGACUCCUACGAGAGGCAGCAGUGGGGAAUAUUGGACAAUGGGCGAAAGCCUGAUCCAGCCAUGCCGCGUGUGUGAAGAAGGUCUUCGGAUUGUAAAGCACUUUAAGUUGGGAGGAAGGGCAUUAACCUAAUACGUUGGUGUCUUGACGUUACCGACAGAAUAAGCACCGGCUAACUCUGUGCCAGCAGCCGCGGUAAUACAGAGGGUGCAAGCGUUAAUCGGAAUUACUGGGCGUAAAGCGCGCGUAGGUGGUUUGUUAAGUUGAAUGUGAAAUCCCCGGGCUCAACCUGGGAACUGCAUCCAAAACUGGCAAACUAGAGUAUGGUAGAGGGUAGUGGAAUUUCCUGUGUAGCGGUGAAAUGCGUAGAUAUAGGAAGGAACACCAGUGGCGAAGGCGACUACCUGGACUGAUACUGACACUGAGGUGCGAAAGCGUGGGGAGCAAACAGGAUUAGAUACCCUGGUAGUCCACGCCGUAAACGAUGUCAACUAGCCGUUGGGAGUCUUGAACUCUUAGUGGCGCAGCUAACGCAUUAAGUUGACCGCCUGGGGAGUACGGCCGCAAGGUUAAAACUCAAAUGAAUUGACGGGGGGCCCCGCACA
rnacentral:rRNA from 1 species